rnacentral:rRNA from 1 species
UACGUAGGGUGCAAGCGUUGUCCGGAAUCAUUGGGCGUAAAGCGCGCGUAGGUGGCUUCGUAAGUCCGUUGUGAAAGUCAAAGGCUCAACCUUUGAAUGCCGAUGGAUACUGCGAAGCUAGAGUACGGAAGAGGCGAGUGGAAUUCCUGGUGUAGCGGUGGAAUGCGCAGAUAUCGGGAAGAACACCCGUGGCGAAGGCGGCUCUCUAGGACGGUACUGACGCUGAGACGCGAAAGCGUGGGGAGCGAACAGG